GUGUAACCGGAGGGCAGGGCGAGCUGUCUGUGACGUACGUAACGAUUGUGACACAUAAACACACUUGUCAUAUGUAGCCACUGAUAGCAUCCUGAACAACAAAGGUAUAAAAGAGGCAGUUGUUGUAUAGCAUACCACUCUGCUACGUGAUUCACACUUUGGAACUAAAACAUACGAAAUAUGAAGACCUUCGUUGUAUUAGCGAUCGUGGUUUUAACUGUGUGUUCAGCGAGACGUAUCUACGUGAACUCGCCAUGUCCAAA